CAGGCUGCCAAUGGCAGGAAGCUGUGCUGGUCUAGAAUUUGGUUAUUUGAGCCAUCAGAUUGAUAAAGGUAGUUCUGGUCAUAGAGGCGGGUUUAUUUUAUCUCACUUUUGCUAGGAAAACCUGGCAGUGCUAUCAGUACAGUCACAGGAAACCAGUUCAAUGCAGACACCUCUGGCUAUGUAGUCCAGGCUUUGAACUUGCAAUUCACCACCCUCCUGCCUCAAUCUCCUGAGCCCUGACUCUAUAGGCAUGUGCCACCAUGCCUGGCCUGAACUAUUUUAACCAAAAAUGAUUAAAAGUAGAAAAACAGUUAAAGUUUCAGUGGCUACUACAUAUGCUCUCCAUAUAUUUUAGCAAAAGUAAUGGUCUUAAAUGUAACUGCCAAACUCUGGUAUAUUGGGAAUUCAGUUUGAUUUUCCACAUGGAAUCAGAGAUUUCAAAGUAGAACCUCAUUCAAAUCUAUCUUAAGAAUGUGAAACAGUGUAAAAAUAAAACCUUUGUUUAUAUAUGCAAAUAAAUAAUACAUAGUGAUAAAUGGAAAAUAUACCCAAGAAAAAUGAUAGAAAGAGCUUGGCUUCAACACAUCUAAGCUCUGUGGGACUCUCCUGAUAUUCUAAAACUCACAAAGGUUUCUAUACCAUGAAUUGAUAUAAACAAUAAAUGGGUGAAACAAAAAUAAAGCACCAAACUGAGGAAAAUGCAGACCAGAACAUGAAGUCACAGCUAAGAAUACAAAUGAUAGGGCUACAUUAGUUCAGAAGCCUGCAAAGUCGCUGUAGUUAAGCAUGGCACUUGUUCCUGAGCUUUCUUAUGGUGGCAAAGUGAACAGGAUGAUAUAAUUACAGAGAAAUUACUGCCCAAAAGGAGAAAAUGUACUGGUGUUGCAAGAAAAACAAAGCUUCUCUCAGUAUUUAACUCCAGUUGAAAUGCUCCUGAAGUGCUUCCUCUAAAGGCUGAAAGACAUAGUGGGUAAUAUAUCUAAAGCUAAUACAGUAACAACUUUUUAAAGUUAUUUCUUGUCAUGUUGUCCCAUGAAAGUUGAAAGGAAUAAACAAGCGCAAAAGUGUUAACAAAUCAGCAAAGGGCAGUUCAGUAAAGAAGUGCUCAUUGAAUGCUUCUAAUAUCAAAUAGGGAUAUUGUAUUUGGUUGUUACUGCCUCCCAGGUCUAAAAUGGUUCUGUCUGAUCAAUACAUAACAUUCUCAUUUGCAGAUAAGAAAGGCAGAAUUAGAGCCCAGAAAACUAUUAAAUCUUUAAGAUGCCAAACAUGACAUUCUUUACAUCUUUACUAUUUCCAGCAGAUCAUAAAGGAAAGAUGCACAUUACUGAAAUAUAUCCACAAGGUUCUCGGAAGUAGCAAGGCCAUUUUAAAGUCAAGAAAUUUGACUUUUAGUGAUAAUUUUGUUUUGACAAUUUAAACCUUUUAUUUGGUACAAAGCUUCUAUCAAAGACUACCUGUCUGAAAAACAGAAAACUAAGUCUAAUUUGGUGAUAUCCAUAUAAACUUAUGUAAAGAUCAAAUCAGAGAAUGUGCUAUGUAAUUAAAAAGUUCUCAGUUGUUAAAAUUAAGAAGCUGGGCUGUAAUUCAGUGGUGCAGCACCUGCGUGGCAUGCACAGUCUGAGGUUUUUUUUUUCCCUGCACCACAAAAAUAAAUAAAAUAAAUGAGAUUAAUACUAACAGUUAACUUGACUAAAAUUUGAUAAUGAACUCAUGCAUUCAGCAAAUACUUACUGAAUGCCUACAGUGUGCCAGUUAUUGUUCAUGGAUCAUCAUUCAUUUGAAUUAAGAUUUUUUUUACUGUAAGAUUAAAUCCUUUCUUAAGCCUCAGCUGAAGCUUAAUCAGGUUUAACAUUUGCUAAGAUUUAUUAAAUAUCGAACCAUUCUUUUAAUGCUGGCAAGUUAAUUUUUUUUAAUUCUUUCUAAAUAAAUCAACUAAAAACUUCUCAUGCCAAACUCACUGAUUGACAAGAUUCACUCUGCAACACUACCACAAAGGGGGUGGGAAGACUCUGUGUCCUCUUCUAGUCUUAUCUCAUCAAUGCAGAAAUAAAAUCGAAAGCAGUUCAGAUCUUUGCUUCAGCUCUUCAGUAACAAACCAGAAAAUGCAUUUGUAAUCAUGGAAGAGAAAGUUAAAACCUCUCUCCUUACACUAGAGGCAACCCUUCCUCGGCCCUCUGAGGACCUCUGUCAUGUACUACUUGAGGCGCAAAUCCCUCCCCAAGCCCUGGAGACUCGGGAGUCUCCAAAGUUUGCACUUCACUACAGAAUGAGGUGUUGUGGGCAGAAGAGAGGACAGUAGGCUUGGGGAAGGCACUAAAAUUUAAGGGAAAA